ensembl:snoRNA SNORA70 Small nucleolar RNA SNORA70
UUGCAAGACCAUGCUCCUUUCCUCACAAGCUAAAGAGGAAAAGGUAUGCAAUGGCUGCAAAUGGCAGCCUGCUUGGCAGUGUAUACAGCCUGUUGCUUGUAUAGGUUGCUCUAAGGGACCUUGGAGACAUUC